GCAGAGUUGGCUCAGUGGUUAAGAGCACUGACUGCUCUUCCAGAGGUCCUGAGUUCAAUUCCCAGCAACCACA
rnacentral:tRNA from 1 species